GGAUAUUAGCCUUUUAUUAUAUAGGAUUGGAACAAUACAGAGAAGAUUAACAUGGCCCCUGUGCAAGGAUGACAGGCAAAUUCAUGAAGCGUUCCAUUAAUGG